rnacentral:rRNA from 1 species
CAGCCGCGGUAAUAGUAGGUGGCAAGCUUGUCCGGAUUUAUUGGGCGUAAAGCGAGCGCAGGCGGAAGAAUAAGUUGAUGUGAAAGCCCUCGGCUUAACCGAGGACCUGCAUCGGAAACUGUUUUUCUUGAGUGCAGAAGAGGAGAGUGGAACUCCAUGUGUAGCGGUGGAAUGCGUAGAUAUAUGGAAGAACACCAGUGGCGAAGGCGGCUCUCUGGUAUGCAACUGACGCUGAGGCUCGAAAGCAUGGGUAGCGAACAGGAUUAGAUACCCUGGUAGUCCAUGCCGUAAACGAUGAGUGCUAAGUGUUGGGAGGUUUCCGCCUCUCAGUGCUGCAGCUAACGCAUUAAGCACUCCGCCUGGGGAGUACGGCCGCAAGGGUGAAACUCAAAGGAAUUGACGGGGGCCCGCACAAGCGAGAAGCAUGUGGUUUCAUUCGAAGCAACG